ACAUGUGUUAAGGACUAUGUGCCAGGUACUUUGUUAUGUGCUUUACAAAAAAAAUAUCUCAUGCAAAUAAUGCUCCGAAAAACUCUGUGAGGUUGUGAGGUAGGUAUUAUCAUUAUCUCUGUUUUACAGGGAAGAAGAAGGGAAGAAGCAUUUUUAUAGAGCCUACUUUGUGCCAGGCACUGUGCUAAGUGCUUUAGAAAUAUUACUUCUUUUAUUCCUUAUACAACCCAAGAAAGUAAAUGCAUUUAUUAUCCUCAUUUUACAGUUGAGACAACUGAGGGAAGAAAUUAUUAAGUGAGUUGCCCAGCUAGUCAUACAGGUAAAAGUCAAUGUAUGAACAUGGAUUUGAACUUGGAUCAUCCAGACUGCAGGCCUAGAACUCUAUCCUCUGCAUCACCCAGUUUCACAUAUCUAGUGAAGUAAACUAUUUAAAGCUGCUCUUUUGAGGGGUUAAAAAGAACUGAAAAAUAGUUGCUCAAAAAUUGGUUAAUUGAAAAGCAAGUUGCAGUUCAUGACUUAUAUUGAUUCUCCCUCUUUUUUGUGCAGAAUGGGAGCAGCCAGGAUUGUGGAAUGUUGCAUUUGAUAAUACACUGCCCUACUGAUUUGAUGAGAAAACUGAGGGAAACAGGAUUAAAUGACUUGUCCAUAUUUGAACUCCUAAAGAGGAGUCUUCCCAGCUCCAAGACCAGCCCUCUAUCAGCUAUGCCACUUAGCUUUGCCAAAAGCUUGAAAAGUAGACUGGUGUUAGAUUGUAUAAGGUCAUGAAUGUCAGGCAGAGGAACUUAAACUUUAUUCAAGGGACAAUGGGGAGCUAUUAAAGAUUUCUAAAGAGAUGAGCAAUGUGAGAUGUAUAUAAGAAAGCUUAUUCUAAUAGCAAUAUGAAGGACAAGUUGGAAGGAGGAAAACAUGGUAUUAUCAACAUCAACAAAAAAGGAUAUUCUGAUUCUUCAGAUUGUUGCCAAUGAGAGUUUGUGAUAGUAUGGUAAUGGGUACUAGAGCAAUCUUACUCAGUCUAAGAAGCCAGAAAGAAACAAUGGAUAGAAGUUACAAAGAGGGAAAUGUAGGUCUGAAAUAACAAAACCCUAACAAUUUAAUCUAUGAAAAGGUUAGACUAGGCUGUCCUGGGAAGUAGUGAGUUCCCUUUAAGAUCAGUACAAUUUAGCAACUAACUAGGUGAUCUUGGGGAAGUAAUUUAACCUCUGUUACUCUCAGUUUCCCCAUCUGUAAGAUGAGGAAAUUAAUAUCUGUGCUAUCCAUUUCCAAUGGUUAUUGUGAGAACCAGCUAUGAUAAUUUAUGUGAAAUGCUUUGUUACCUACAGUAUUAUAUCAAUGUAAACUAUGAUCAUUAUUAUUUCCUAAACUCUACAUUAAUACAAAGAGGCAUGAAUUCAUGAA